CGCAUCUGUGCAUGCAGCAUAUCAAUAAGCGGAGAAAAGAAACUAACAAGGAUUCCCUUAGUAACGGCGAGUGAAGCGGGAAGAGCUCAAAUUUGAAAUCUUCAAGGUUUUACCUUGACGAAUUGUAGUUUAAAGAAGUGUUUUCUGUUGAAGUUUUGGUAAAAGUUCUUUGGAAUAGGACAUCAUAGAGGGUGAGAAUCCCGUAUUUGACCAUUAUUUUCAGCUGUGUGAUACACUUUCAAAGAGUCGGAUUGUUUGGGAAUGCAGUCCAAAAUGGGUGGUAAAUUUCAUCUAAAGCUAAAUAUUGGCGAGAGACCGAUAGCGAACAAGUACCGUGAGGGAAAGAUGAAAAGAACUUUGAAAAGAGAGUUAAACAGUACGUGAAAUUGUCAAAAGGGAAGCAGUUUGACACCAGUGCUGUUUUCUCGAAAAUCAAUUAAAAAGAGGUUGGAUUUUGUUGUGUAUUGACCUUAACAGCUUGCAUUUCAAUCUUUCAUUGCUUUUUUUAAUGCACUUUUCGUUUAACAAGUCAACAUCAGUUUCUUUUGUUGUAAAAAGGGUCAUUGGAAGGUGGCUUUCUCUUUCGGAGAAAGUGUUUAUAGCCUUUGACUCUCUGCAAUCGGAGAGACUGAGGUCUGCAGCGUAGAUCCUUCGGGGUUAGAUACAUUUGUGCUAAGUUAUAGCUUUUUCAUAGACAACUUGUUGACUAUGAUUAGUCUUGUAGCUUACUCGCUUAUGCUAUUUUACCUACGCUUAGGAUGUUGACGCGCGUGUGUGCGUG
rnacentral:rRNA from 1 species